CGGGCAGGUCGGGUGAUCGCUGGGCCGGCAUCUCACGAUGCUCGGCCUGGAGGAAAGUCCGGACACCGCGGUCCGACGUCUAACGAGGUUGGACUGAAGGGCAACGCGCCUGGUAACGCCAGGGGGUCGGGUCUGCGAGGACUCGGCCACGGACAGUGCCACAGAAAAUAAACCGCCGGCGCAGCUUGCGGUAAGCGCAAGCGAACCGCGAAAGCCUCGAUGACAAGCCGGAGGAAAACCUUCGGCUCGUCUUUCACAGGCAGGCUGUGCAGGGCAAGGGUGAAACGGUGGGGUAAGAGCCCACCGCUCGGGCGGCAACGCUUGAGGCACGGCAAACCCCGCGUGGUGCAAGGCCAAAUAGGAGGGGAGGGCUGGCCCGGCCCGUUAUAACCCUCGGGUAGGCCGCUUGAGUUCCGAAGCGAUUCGGGACCCAGAGGAAUGAUCACCCCGGUGCGUAGGCCGCACGCGGUUCGGCGCCGAAAGGUGGCGGACCAAUGGACACGCGCCGGACAGAAUCCGGCUUACAGACCUGCCCGCCGC
rnacentral:RNase_P_RNA from 1 species